rnacentral:rRNA from 1 species
UACAGAGGGUGCAAGCGUUGUUCGGAAUUAUUGGGCGUAAAGCGCGUGUAGGCGGCUUUGCAAGUCGGGUGUGAAAGCCCUCGGCUCAACCGAGGAAGUGCGCCCGAAACUGCAGAGCUUGGGUACCGGAGAGGAUGGCGGAAUUCCCCAAGUAGAGGUGAAAUUCGUAGAUAUGGGGAGGAACACCGGUGGCGAAGGCGGCCAUCUGGACGGAUACUGACGCUGAGACGCGAAAGCCAGGGGAGCAAACGGG